rnacentral:rRNA from 1 species
AUGGCGGCGGGGAAACACCCGGUUUCCAUUCCGAACCCGGCAGUUAAGCCCGCCAGCGCCGAUGGUACUGGGGGGACAUCCCCCGGGAGAGUAGGUCGCCGCC